CCCUAUACUCUGACUGACUGUGACUACGAGCCGCAUCAAUUAUGCUAUGCGGCGGCGGCCGGCGGCGCGGCUCUGCGACCGGAAUCGGCGAGGGUUUCCAUCAAUUAGCCCACCAGCUAGGCCGAGUGGGAGGGAUUUGACCUUCGAUUAGCAUUUAGCAGUAAAUCAGCAAGAGCGGCGAGGUACGUUCCCGUUAUAGGGCGGCUUCAGAUUUCUUUUCUUUCUUUCUUUCUUUUUUGAAAGGUGGGCGGCUUCAGAUUUACAAGUACUCUAGCAGAUUCACGUGCAAGGCCCGUAUGACUGUAGACUUCGCCUCAAUUUCGCUUACAAUCUCUUCGCAUCAGAGUUUUACCUUGCUGUCCUGCGGAAUGGCAUUUCCAGAUGUGGAAUCGCUCCAGUGUAGUUUCAUGAAUCAUUUGAGUUUGGGACCGCACCGGUUAUAGUUCAUUUUUAACUGGUUCCGCUCCGCAGAUCGAAGGAAGCGGCAUGUUGUAUUAAUGCUACUUUUCCUAUUUUACAUAAUUAGGUUACUAAAAGCUCAGCCUUUCUUGACACCUUCUCUUGCUUUUGUGCUGGCCGUCGCAGGUGUGUUCUGUUUUUCCAAGUUUUAAGCCAAUGAUGAUUGAGUAUGAAGCACAAUCAAAUUACCAUAUAAACAGAAUUCAUUUUUACUACUUCCUGCUAGCAUUGUCCUUGAAUUAUUUAGCUGACAACAAUUUCAUUAGAUUUUUUUAGGUUUUGUUGUUCUGUGUAUCAACUUGCAAUUUAUCUUCCUUCGCCAAGUAUUUUGAACCAAUCAAGCCAUUUCAUCCUGCCGCCGUAUGUGACAAAUGCAUCUUUAUGUCGUUUGCUUCUGUACACUCCUGUAAAAGAAUUUAGGUCUUUAAAAGUAGUUUAUAAUAUGUGGGGAAACAAAUAGGCAUCAAAGGGGUAAAAUAUGAAUCAAAUCAAAAUUAUCUGAGAUAGAUUUCAAUAUUUGGUAGGGGAGAUUUUUUUUUUUUUUGAAGAAGUGGUAGGGGAGAAUAUCUUUUUAUUCUUUUUAUGUAGACUGAAGAGAGGUAAAUUUUUUUCUAAAAGAGGUGUAUUGAAGCAAAUCCCCAGCUUUUUUGAAAUGAGUGUAUUCAAGAUACUGCUUCGAUCUAAAUUAUCGUUGCCCAUACUAAUUCGAAUGAGUGUUUGGGUUAGUAGGAUUUUUAGUAGCAAAUUCUUUUUUUUUGAAAUGGGAGAAAUAUUCUUUUUGAAAAUGAUUUCUAGUACCAAUCAAAUGUAUGCUUGAUUGGUAGAUCUUAUCCAUACUUCUCCUUGCAACAUAUUCCUUCAUGGCCAACCUACAUGGGCCGGAGCUCAAUAUACUUAUCAACAUAGCAUUGCUUGUGAAGAACAUGUUUGCUGCAAGUCCCGUUUCUAGGAACAUGUUUGCCGGACCAUGUUACUCCUUUUCUUUUCCCUUGUUUCUUUGUUUUUUCAAAUUUGUGUGGACCAUCUUUUGUUCCAUGUUAAUACAAUUACAGGCUGUUGCUUUUGCUGGCUCAAGGAAAAGUUUCUAUGGUCUUUUUUCAUCAUCAUCGGCUACUAGAAUAGGAAAAGGUUGAUAUCAUCUGUUCUGAUGUAAAUUAUCAUUAAUUUAGCGAAUUCUAGGAUACUGUGCAAUUAUCUUCUUCUGGGAAUGUAAGUUGAGUAAUUUUGAAAGGGAUUCUUGUUACAAACAAAUUCUGAUGCAUCAUUUAAACAAAACAGGCUACCAUUACUAUUUUUGUAACUUUCUGCAAAACACUGCAGUGGUAGGCAUCAAUUCUAUCUAAUAACCUCAUAUCUGUCAAUGCAUUUGCUCAUCAUAUUUGCUAGACUCUGACUUCUCUGAUGAAACAUGCGCAGACACAAGAACUGAGAGUUGUUGCAAAUGACAUCUCUGUGACUUUGAUGUCCGUGUUCAAAGCUGUCGCCCCAGCAGUAGCAGGGAUUCUGUAUUUUUUUCGUCUUUUAUGGCAAGAAAUCGACUAUUUUACCCCAUAACAAUAUAUUAUGAAUUAACUCUGGCUAACUUGUUUCCUUGCCUUUUUACUGGUUUUCAUGGGCUCGGAAGCACAUAAGUGGGCUGUACUUACCAGGUGAUCAGAUUCUGUUCCUGAUGCUCAACAUGGUGUCUGUAAUUGGUCUACUUCUGACGCCCGAGCCAUUUUUCUCCCUGCCAAAAGUGAUGAGGCUUUCAUAACUCUGUGUAUAUUUAGUUCGUUAGUUGAGUUACAUCAGGCACACUGUCAGGUUACAGCCGUGGGUUUUGAACUGCAAGAAUUCAUGUAUUGUAAUGGCCCAUACUCUCUUGUGUCUUAUGUUCUCAGAUGUAAAGAGUUCUCUGAAUUUUCGUGUGGGCUCCAAAGGACCAGAUGCUUCGUUGAUAUAUAAUAAAACGGAAAUGAGAUAUGGCUUGCCAUC